GACAACUCCAGCACGUUGCCCCAGACUGUGCCCUCACAGUUCUGUGUCUGAGGAUGCCGACUCCACACCACCUCUGGGCACCCGGUUAGAGUGUCCAACCACUCUCACUGUAAAACUCUGUUUUCAUAGAAUCAUGGAAUGGUUUGAGUUGGAAGGGACCCUUGAAAGCCAUUUAGUCCAGCUUCCCUGCGAUGAACAGGGCUGAGUAAAGCUCCUGGAGCUGAGAGACUCUCCAGAAGUCUGCUGAUCAAAAGAGGUUUAUAUGAACACCACGGAUUGAUCAGAGGUACAAAGAAAUGGCUGAAGUGUGCGGACUUCUCUGUUUAAAG
ensembl:lncRNA